rnacentral:lncRNA from 1 species
CUUGGCUUGGAAUCUGGACCUUUGGAGAGGAUCCCCCCCAAGUACAGCAUCCCUUGGAAAACAACUUUGAGAGGCGGGCACUAUUAUUGUCUCUAUUUUACAGAUGAAGAAACUGAGGCAGACAGCACUGAAGUGACUUGCCCAAUGUCACGCAGAUGCUCCACCUCCCUUCUGGACAAAGCAAAGAAGCCCAAGUCAUCUUCCACCCAACGGCCCUUCAUGGCUUCGAAGAGAGAACGUGCUCCUCCCAGGCUCAGCAUUUCCCACCAGAUGUCUUUCCACCCUCCCUCUGCCACCUGCCGUCAUCUUUGCUCUUCCUUGUGUCGUGAACCAGUUCAUCGAAGCUAUAAGCCCAGAAUUGCUAAAUAGCAGACCCAAGAGAGACUCUGAAACAUUGGGCAAAGCAGGUCGGAGCUGGGAGCGCCUGCAGAAUGGAGAACAGAGGACAUGGGGGCCCAAAGGACCUGAGAACAUAAAACCUCAAAUGUCAGAGCUGAAGGAUGAAGAAGACAAAGCAUCUUAGUUCGACUCUUUCAUUUUACAGAGGAGGAAACUGAGUCACCCAGCAGGCUUAUGGCUGAAGCUCACUCCCCUGACUCCAUGAAUUCCUGAAUGGUACUAGAGCCCCUUCUAUGUGGCUUCUUAGGGCCCUGCCUGGGCUUCGGAGAGGUGCUUGAUGGUCUCAAUCUAAGUAGGACAAACCAGUGCCUUCUGUGCCCAGACAGGGCUAGCUGGACUCCCAGGGGCAGAUGACUGGGACCUCCCCAGUUAGGAGCUGGUACCUCCCUUUGAGCCUGGUUUUACCCAGUAGCUUUCCCUGAUGAUUAAGGAGUGAGCCAGAAGAGAAGCAGUGGAUUAAACUGACAUAUUCCUGCCAGUGAUCAGUUCUCUGUUUUAUUAUUAUCCUCUUGAAGGGAGAGGUAGAGCCUCCAUAAAGGAGAUUCAAGUCCUUUUUCCCAAGCACAAAAUCUUAGCUCAGACCACAGAGACCAUCUGGGCCCUUGAUGGUGAACCUAGGGCGUGUGUGCCAAAGAUGGCACACAGAGACCUCUCUGUGAGCACAAGUGCUGUCGCCCACCAGAGUUAGUUACUCAAAAGGCAGAGAGAUCCAAGCAGGGCUGCUCCCUUCCCCCUCUCCACUGUACCUCCCUGCCCCUCUGCCCAGCAGCCCAAUAGAAGCACUUACUCCCUCCACUGAGCAGAACACUCAGGCCACUCUCCUCUCUUUCUCCCUCCCCUGUCUGGGGUAAGGAGAGGAGGGGCAGCCAUAGCACACGAUCUGGAGCUUGGGGGGCAGAGUAGGGCACAGCACUUGUUCAUUUAAGGGUUUGCCAUCACAGGUCUAGGCUGAUCUCUUCAUGGCAGAAGA